UACUGUCAUCUACUGUCAUCUACUGUCAUCUACCGUCAUCUACCGUCAUCUACUGUCAUCUACUGUCAUCUACUGUCAUCUACCGUCAUCUACCGUCAUCUAGUGUCAUCUAGUGUCAUCUACUGUCAUCUACCGUCAUCUACCGUCAUCUAGUGUCAUCUACAGUCAUCUACUGUCAUCUACUGUCAUCUACUGUCAUCUAGUGUAAUCCACCGUCAUCUACUG